rnacentral:tRNA from 1 species
UGAAGUGUAGCUCAGUGAUAGAGCAUGUUCUUAGAACGUACAAGCCCUGAGUUCUAUCCCCAGCACCAA